UAACCUUCGGGAGCCAGCCGUCUAAGGUGGGACAGAUGAUUAGGGUGAAGUCGUAACAAGGUAGCCGUAGGAGAACCUGCGGCUGGAUCACCUCCUUUCUAAGGAA
rnacentral:rRNA from 1 species